rnacentral:rRNA from 1 species
UACGAAGGGGGCUAGCGUUGUUCGGAAUUACCGGGCGUAAAGGGCGCGCAGGCGGUUCCUCAAGUCAGGCGUGAAAGCCCCGGGCUCAACCUGGGAACUGCGCUUGAGACUGCGGGACUGGAGUUCGGGAGAGGAGAGCGGAAUUCCCAGUGUAGAGGUGAAAUUCGUAGAUAUUGGGAAGAACACCGGUGGCGAAGGCGGCUCUCUGGACCGACACUGACGCUGAGGCGCGAAAGCGUGGGUAGCAAACAGG